GAGGGGGCGAAAUCGCGCCGGCAGCGGGGGAGAGCUUCGGCGGAGAAGUUCCCCGGCCGUGCGACGGGCGGCGGGACCGGCCGCCGACGCCGUGCUCCCGGUGUGCUUCCGCCAGCCUGCAGUUCUCCGUCUGCAUUGCCUCUGCUCUCUCCGGAUAAGAUCCAGAUUUGCCUGUGCGUUUCUUCUCCGAUUUGCCGCCGAUGAUUCCCUUGCUGAUUCAUGUCCCCCUUUUGCCCGUUCCUGUCUUCGCCGGUGCAGGGUCGUAAUGAUUGCGUGUCUGUGCUCUCCUCCUCCACUGUUUCCGCUCCGGACGUUAGCUGCGUUCCUGGGGUCUCCAAGCCGUGUUCGGUGUUCGUGCUUUUGUCUGCACUGCUUCCACUGCUUCCACUGCAGUUGACUUUUGGAACCUAUGACAGCAUUCUUUUGGGUGUUCCAGCGUGAUGCACCACUUAUAGUAUUAAUCCAAAAUAUGGUUCGGAGGACGACUUUGUAUCAACUGUGCACGCAAACUCUUUGAAACCAGCUUCGGAAUCAUCAUCAGCAUGCAGCAGCCAAGUCCCUCACCAGCCUGCUCCACUGAAGAUGGCGCUGCACAAGAACCUGCUGAACUCUCCAUGCUGGUUUCGCCUUUGUGUGUUUUGGUUGGCCGAAAUUGCUGUUACAACUGCAGUUCAUGACCUUUCUGGUCUGUACUAGCACAUAUUGCCCCAUCAUCACAGCUGUAGCUGUUGGAUGCGGCUAGGAAUUUGUGGAUGAACCUGUAGCCCAAUCGUAAAACUCUGUGUUGCCUAUGAUUCUUCUGACUGGAAAUCGUUUAUGAAGGCAGCAAUUUAUGCUAUGUUUUACACUUUC